rnacentral:tRNA from 1 species
UCCGAGAUCGUCUAAAGGUAGGACACAACGCUUUGAACGUUGCGAUGUUGGUUCGAUUCCAGCUCUCGGAG